AUUCUGACUGUGACUGGAGUUCAGACGUGUGCUCUUCCGAUCUCGGCGAGCGAAACGGGGACAGCCCAAACCGAACAUAUUUAUAUGUUCGGGGUUGUAGGGCGGAAUCAGCAUUUAGUUGCGGAAAGUUACAAAAUCGAUAUAUAGGAAAACACGUUGGGAAGCGUGACCCCAGUAGGUAAUAGUCCUGUAUCCGAAAUGUAUCGAACUUUCUUGGUUCCGUUCCUGAGUAGCGCGGGACAUGAAUAGCCCGUGUGAAUCUACCAGAACUAACUGGUAAGGCUAAAUAUUCUUGAAGACCGAUAGUGAACAAGUACCGUGAGGGAAAGGUGAAAAGAACCCCGGAGAGGGGAGUGAAAUAGAUCUGAAACCAUACAUCUACAAGGAGUCGGAGCCUUUCGGGGCGACGGCGUGCCUAUUGAAGAAUGAGCCGGCGAGUCUAUCUUUAUCCUUGUCUAAGAGGCAACCCCUCGGAGGCAUAGUGAAAGCGAGCGUGAAUAGCGCGAAAUUAUAAGGGUAGGGAUAGGACCCGAAGCGGGAUGAGCUUGCCAUGAGCAGGGUGAAGCGACUGUAAUAGGUCGUGGAGGCCCGAACCGGUUGGCCGUACAAAACCAUCGGAUGACUUGUGGUAAGGAGUGAAAAGCUUAUCGAAUUCCGUAAUAGCUGGUUCUCUCCGAAACAGCUUUAGGGUUGGCGUCGCGUGUUCCCUCUGGGGGUAGAGCACUGGAAAGGAAGAACAGGGAGAAAUCUCGUCUUUCUUAUCAAACUCCGAAUACCAGUAGGUUAAGAGCGCGGCAGUUAGACUAUGGGGGCGAAGCUCCAUUGGUCAAAAGGGAAACAGCCCAGAUCGCCAGUUAAGGUCCCAAAAUAUAUACUCAGUGCAAAGUGAGGAGGUGAGGAUUCCUCAACAGCCAGGAGGUUGGCUUAGAAGCAGCCAUCCUUUAAAGAAAGCGUAACAGCUCACUGGUCGAGAGUCCUUGCGCCGAAAAUGAUCGGGGCUCAAGUAUAUUACCGAAACUGCGGAUGUCACAUGCCUUCGGGUAUGUGGCGUGGUAGGAGAGCGUCCAUCUCUGCGAUGAAUCCAAGGCGGGAGCCGCGGUGGAGCGAGGUGGAGUGAGAAUGCCGGCACAAGUAACCGCAAGGCAGGUGAGAACCCUGCCCGCCGAAAUACCAAGGUUUCCUUCGCGAUGCUGAUCAGCGAAGGGUUAGUCGGUCCUAAGGGAAUCCCGAAUGGGGGACCCGAUGGAUAGUAGGUUAAUAUUCCUGCACAUCAUUAUGUUCCUAUGGAGGGACGGAGCGUUGUACUUAUGGCCCCUUAUUGGAUUGGGGUUGGAGCACUGAGCGUGUUACUUAGGUAAAUCCGGGUAGCAAUAGCGCGAGGUGAGUCUAGAUUUGAGCCUUCGGGCAAAGAGAUUGUAAGGAGCACGCUUCCGAGAAAAACUUCGUUUGGGUUAAGCAUAAUGAUUCCGUACCGCAAACCGACACAGGUGGUAGAGUCGAGUAGACUAAGGCGAACGAGUGAGAGGUCCUCAAGGAACUCGGCAAAAAAGCGACCGUAACUUAGGGAUAAGGUCUGCCCUGGCACCUUCGGGUGUCGGGGCCGCAGCGAAAGAUUUCCUGCCGACUGUUUACCAAAAACACAGCUCCCUGCAAACACGAAAGUGGAAGUAUAGGGGGUGACGCCUGACCUAUGCCGGAAGGUUAAGUACGGAGGGUCCAAUGUAUUUAUAUGUUGGGCUGGACUGUAUAAGCCCCGGUAAAUGUCAGCGAUAACUAUAAUCGUUCUAAGGUAGCGUAUUUCCUUGUCGGGUAAGUUCCGACGUGCACGAAUGGCGUAACGAGUGGGAAACUGUCUCGAGGACCUGCUCGGUGAAAAUACAAUCCCGGUAAAGAUGCCGGGUACCUGCAGUUAGACGAAAAGACCCCAGGAGCUUUACUGUAGCUUCGUAUUGGGGCUGCUGAAUUAAUGCGUAGCAUAGGAAGGAGACUUUGAAGCGGGCUUUUGGGUACCGUGGAGUCGCCAGUGAAAUACUUCCCUUUAUUUUGGUAGUCUCUAACCAGCACGGAAAAACCGUGUUGAGACAGUGCGUGGCAGGCAGUUUUAGUGGGGCGCUACCCUCCCAAAUCGUAACGGAGGGGUCUCAAGGUUGGUUAAUCGCGAAUGGAAACCGUGAUGAUAGUGUAAUGGCAUAAACCAGCUUGACUGUGAGCCGUAGAUGGCGAACAGAUACGAAAGUAGAGCAUAGUGAACCGAUGGUUGGCGUUAGAUGCCGCCGGAGAUUACCCGAUAAAAGUUACCCUGGGGAUAACAGGCUAGUUGUGCCCAAGCGUCCAUAGCGACGGCACAGUUCGGCACCUCGAUGUCGGCUCAUCUUAUCCUGGGGCUGGAGCAGGUCCCAAGGGUUUGGCUGUUCGCCAAUUAAAAAGAUACGCGAGCUGGGUUUAGACCGUCGUGAGACAGGUUGGUCUCCUAUCUACUGCAGGCGUCGAAUUUUGAGGAGAGUUGUUCCUAGUACGAGAGGACCGGAAUGAACGAACCUCUGGUCUACCAGCUGUCACGCCAGUGGCACCGCUGGGUAGCUAUGUUCGGAAUGGAUAACCGCUGAAAGCAUCUAAGCGGGAAGCCAACUCCAAGAUUAGAAUUCAUUAAGUCCCCCAGGAGAUUACUGGGUUGAUAGGCACUAGGUGGAAGUACAGUAAUGUAUGCAGCCGAG
rnacentral:rRNA from 1 species